UAAAGGGCUAAGAUGACUGGCA
rnacentral:miRNA from 12 species